AGGGAGGAGAUGGGAAAUCCCCCCCCCAGCCCGUCGUCUGCAGCUUGGGAGGGCCAAGAGGAGCCCGCUGAGGGGCAGAAGACAAACUCCUGGCCCCGCACAGCCUGCGGCAGCUCCGCCGCCCACCACAUGCCUUGCGCUUGGGAGUGAAGUUAGACGUCUGCCCUCACAGCGUUGUGCCCUCCGUGUCUCCAGCCUGGGCAGCAUUGUUAGGCCCGAGGGAGGUCAUUCGGGGCCUCUCUCCGUGGAGAAUGGGGAACGAGGCUCUAUUUAAGGAAGGGGAAGGGUAAAUGGAAUUGAAGCUGGAGUAUCAAGCUUGAGUUGGUGGAAGACCUCUGUGGACUGGGAGGGAAGGUGGGGUGGGGACGCACGGGUCCACAACUGUUGUGCCCCCAGGAGCUGAAGACCUGGACCCGGACCUGGACCCCCCAGUGAAGAGCCAGGAGCUUCAGCUUCUCCGCACCGAGACCACCACCCAGACACAGCCUCUCAGCCCUGGACUGCGGGGGCUGCUCGGUGUGGCAGCAGCUGCUAAAACCCAAGCACAGGAGCACCCCUACUUGUGGGAUGUGCUCCUUGGUGGAGACCUUGGAGGGCCAUGUGCAGGAGCUUGAGGAGGAGAUACGCCAGCUGUGCACCAUCAGGGCUCAUGAAGACUACAUAGAUGACUACUGCCAGGCCCUACUCCAGGGAAACGAAGGAGAGAGGAAGAAUGUGAAGAAGGGGGAGGAGGAGGCCAUGAAGAAGACUGGCCACAAAGACCCCCCCCCCACUCCCUCCCCCUCCCCCAGAGCUACCUGGAAAAGAGUCAUCUCUGGAUCCAGAGCACGCAGAGCUAGGGCCACUCCUCCCCUAGCACUGCACAACAGGUACACUCCCCUCACUACACAGGAGGAGUCUCCAACAGAGACACAGGAGGAGGUGGUAAGUAUUCAGGAGGUAAGUAUUCCCACCCCUAGGAGGAGACACUGGGUGGUGGUGGGAGAGACUCUCUCCUGAGGGGCAUGGAGGGACCUAUCUGCUGUCUGGACCCCUCAGCCCGAGAGGUCUGCUGCCUCCCUGGGGCCCACAGCUGAGACAUUGCAGAGAGGAUCCCCAGGAUCUUCUGUCCCUCUGACUAUUACCCCAUGCUCCUCAUCCAUGUAGGCACGAAUGACACGGGCAGGGGUAACCCUGACCAAGUCACAAGUGACUACAGGGCUCUGGGAGCUGGGCUCAAGGGACUAGGGGCUCAAGUAGUUUUCUGUGCUCCCUGUUGCAGGCCAUGGACCCAGGAGGGAAGGCUGCGUGGAAGAGGUCAACAGAUGCCUGAGACAGUGGUGCUACCAUGAGGGGUUCAGUUACCUCAACCAUAGCACACAUGUCAGAGAGAGAGGACUUCUAGGAUGAGAUGGCAUUCACCUCACAUGGAGAGCUGUGUGGAGAACAGCAUUUCUCAAAUGGAUUUUGUUAUGAGGGACUUGGAUGUGUUCCCGAGAGUGGCAUCAUUUGACUCCAUGGAACUUUGAGCGACUCACAUCAGACCAAGAACAUCAAAUCAAUCAUAUUGAUUUGGAAGGACUUCAUUGAGGUAACUUCGCUGGACUUUCUGAAGAGUUCUUGGCUGGAAUCUUCUCAGGAGUCUUGGCUGAGCAUUCAGCAUGAAUCAUGAUGAAAAUUUAGAAGAAAAUUGCAAGGUUUCACCUUCCACUGUGAAGUACGAGAAGACAUUCUUUUAUUGUGUGUCCAAGUAAUAUGAUUGACUGGCAAUAUAGUUCAAUCAAGAAUAGAGGGGAAUGCUGUCUCUCUCUCAGCAGGAUAUUAGCAAACAAGGCAACAGUAUAUAUGGAUUUUCAUUAAAGAAAAAGGAGAAGUAACUUACAGAUUGAAUAGAAAAUAUGCACUUUGGCCGUUAGCUUCAAACAAUACUAAAAUUAUUAUUAUAAUAACUAAAAUGAUAGAGCCUGAUCUGUAAGUAGAGGUUGUGCACUUGAGGAAUGGCUCUAUACAAAAUCUACACAAUCUCAUGAUAUUUUAGAAAAAUGCAUGGCUUCAAAAUGCAUGAACUUACCUAAUGUUUUCCUGAAAAGUAAAUAGGACACAAAGGAAAAUAUAUAGUCAUGUUACAUUACUAGGCCAUAUAGUAACAGUAAUAACAAAGAUGGUAAAUAAAAACAGCAAGUUUCAACAAAACUUGUGAAAGUAUGAGGGGGGAGCUGAUAAAGAUGACCAAAUGACAUAAAACACUAGAUAAAUGGAAAAUCCUUGGAGGAAAAAUAAUAUUGUAAAUAUUAGAAAUACAGAGAAAUAAAAGGAUAUAAAUUUGUACUCUUUGCUCAAGGUCAUACAGUCCUAGUGAAGAGAAUUCUGGUGGAAUUGCUAACAAAUGCUGCUAACAAAUGGAAGCACAUAUGUAAUUUCAAUAACUAUGGACAGACAUUCAUUUCUAGGGCUGCAAAUUUCUGGUAGUCUCCAGCCUGCAGCCACCUCCUCUCACCGGGGUUAGCCCAGCCUGGGCAACAUGAGGAGAGCAUUUUCCCAUUGCUCCAGUCCUGCCAUUUCCCAGGAGGAGUUGAGCAGCCACUGGACCCCCUCACCCAUCUUCCCCAGACCAGGAUCACCCUGGUCUAGGAAAGGUAGGGGAAAUUUUUGCACAGGCAAGAUCUUCCUCAUUGAAAGAAGAUCUUUUUCUCAGAGGCAGCACAUUUCCUGAGGUAGAAAAACUGCACAAAUGCCUGUUUGAUCUCAGUUUCUAGAGGGAAAAGGCAUUUCUUCUGCUAGAAAUGUAACAAUUGUCCAUGCCUACUGUGAUCAUCCCAUUAGGGAAACAUUACUUUUAUGCCAACUGCAAAAUAACUGGGAUUACUCUAUGACUAGAUAUAAUAUGUAAAGAUUAUUGCAUUGAUAUUUGAAA